AGAGUUUGAUCCUGGCUCAGGAUGAACGCUAGCGGGAGGCCUAAUACAUGCAAGUCGAACGGUAACAGAUCUUCGGAUGCUGACGAGUGGCGCACGGGUGAGUAACGCGUACAUAACCUACCUUUAACUGGGAGAUAGCCUUGGGAAACUGAGAAUAAUACCCCAUAACAUUAUGAUACCGCAUGGUAUUAUAAUUAAAGUGUUAGCGGUUAGAGAUGGAUGUGCGUGCCAUUAGAUUGUUGGUGAGGUAACGGCACACCAAGUCGACGAUGGCUAGGGGGCGUGAGAGCGUGAUCCCCCACACGGGUACUGAGACACGGACCCGACUCCUACGGGAGGCAGCAGUAAGGAAUAUUGGACAAUGGACGAAAGUCUGAUCCAGCCAUCCCGCUUGCAGGAUGACGGCCCUAUGGGUUGUAAACUGCUUUUAUAGAA
rnacentral:rRNA from 1 species